rnacentral:rRNA from 1 species
AUUGAACGCUGGCGGCAUGCUUUACACAUGCAAGUCGAACGGUAACAGGCCGCAAGGUGCUGACGAGUGGCGAACGGGUGAGUAAUGCAUCGGAACGUGCCCAGUCGUGGGGGAUAACGCAGCGAAAGCUGCGCUAAUACCGCAUACGAUCUAUGGAUGAAAGCGGGGGACCGAAAGGCCUCGCCCGAUUGGAGCGGCCGAUGUCAGAUUAGGUAGUUGGUGGGGUAAAGGCCCACCAAGCCAACGAUCUGUAGCUGGUCUGAGAGGACGACCGGCCACACUGGGACUGAGACACGGCCCAGACUCCUACGGGAGGCAGCAGUGGGGAAUUUUGGACAAUGGGCGCAAGCCUGAUCCAGCAAUGCCGCGUGCAGGAAGAAGGCCUUCGGGUUGUAAACUGCUUUUGUACGGAGCGAAAAGGCUCCCUCUAAUACAGGGGGCUCAUGACGGUACCGUAAGAAUAAGCACCGGCUAACUACGUGCCAGCCGCCGCCGUAAGAC